CGCCUGCCCUGUGACAAAAGGUUCAACGGCCGCGGUAUUUUGACCGUGCAAAGGUAGCGCAAUCACUUGUCCUUUAAAUGAAGACCUGUAUGAAUGGCAUCACGAGGGCUUAGCUGUCUCCUUUUUCCAGUCAAUGAAAUUGAUCCCCCCGUGCAGAAGCGGGGAUAAAACCAUAAGACGAGAAGACCCUAUGAAGCUUUAGACGCAAGACAGACCUUGUUAAACACUUCAAAAUAAAGAAAUAAACUAAGAGAAUCCUGUUCUGAUGUCUUUGGUUGGGGCGACCACGGGGAAACAAUAAACCCCCAUGCGGACUGAGAAAACAAUUCUCACAACCAAGAGCCGCAGCUCUAGUUAACAGAACUUCUGACCUUUAGAUCCGGCAAUGCCGAUCAACGGACCGAGUUACUCUAGGGAUAACAGCGCAAUCCCCUUUUAGAGUCCCUAUCGACAAGGGGGUUUACGACCUCGAUGUUGGAUCAGGACAUCCUAAUGGUGCAGCAGCUAUUAAGGGUUCGUUUGUUCAACGAUUAAAGUCCU
rnacentral:rRNA from 1 species